CAGAGGGGGCAAGCGUUAUUCGGAAUUAUUGGGCGUAAAGGGCGCGUAGGCGGCUUGGCAAGUGGAAGGUGAAAUCCCUCGGCUUAACCGAGGAACUGCCCUCCAAACUGCUUUGCUUGAGGCCGGGAGAGGUGAGUGGAAUUCCCAGUGUAGCGGUGAAAUGCGUAGAUAUUGGGAGGAACACCAGUGGCGAAGGCGGCUCACUGGACCGGUUCUGACGCUGAUGCGCGAAAGCGUGGGGAGCAAACGGGAUUAGAUACCCCGGUAGUCCACGCCGUAAACGAUGAGUGCUUGGUGUAGCGGGUAUCGACCCCUGCUGUGCCGAAGUCAACACAUUAAGCACUCCGCCUGGGGAGUACGGUCGCAAGGCUG
rnacentral:rRNA from 1 species